CACACCCGGCUCAGGGAUCAUUUCUGUAGUUCUUUACUAUAGAAGUUUCUCUGUGUAGAGUACAGGAACCGUGAGGAGGAGGCUUAGAGUUCUUUCCUGAGCGUGAAGCGGCUCUUGGUGUUGGUUUGGUCCAACCGCCACUAGCAAUUGAUGAUUGUUCCUAUUCUCCUUCGGGGGAGCUGAAGGGAAGGGUCUGUGUCACAGU
ensembl:snoRNA U3 Small nucleolar RNA U3